rnacentral:lncRNA from 1 species
UUUUAUUUAUUUAUUUAUUUAUUGUUAAUUUGAAUUAAAUUAAACUGCCAAAUGCAAUAUAAUUUAAGAUAUUUGUAAGCUCUAUUUGAUAGUAUUAGAGGUUUAUGUAACAUAUUUGUUAACUAAACUACCAAAUGAGGGAUAUUAUUAAUUAUUGCAUUAGGUUAUCUAAUUUAAACUGAUUAUUUUCUCAUGGUCUUGUAGGUUUAGGACAUUUUUAGAUUAUUAUGUCUUACUCUUUAUUUAAUAUUUAAAGGUGUUGCAUAAUUAAUCAAGAUGAGAGAGACAAGUCUUACUCUGUCCAAGAAGAAUUAAUUAGGAUCUAUCUUAUCGUUAAAUGGAUGUUAGGCUUUAAGCAAGAGGGGUGUUAGUAUUGAUUUUAAAGUACUCGUGAGUGAGUCGACGUUUUAGCAUUACCCCAUGCUCAAAGUAGAAUUCUAUGGAAUUCUAAAAUGUUUCUUUUUUAAGAGUUUUUUCUUUCUGGAAAAUCUUAGAUUUUCUUUUUAUAGGUAAAAAGAAAAUCUAAAAUUUAGAGGGUCAUCAGAAUGCACACGAAGCAUAUAAAAAACAUUUUUCGGUUAAGUCAAGGGGAAACAACAAAUACAAUUUGCCCUCGGCCUAAGCCUAAAGCAUAAAAGACCAAGAGAAAACAAAAACCUCGAGAUGACCUUCUUGUAUGCUUGUCGACCAAACUGGUUGCUGUGACCCAACCAUGACAAAAAGAUGAAACAAAAAAAAUGCAUCUUCUACCCUUGACUCUUUCUGAGGCCACAGUUUUUUGAGUUGCGCCAAGAUCCUUGCACUGAAGCCCACUGUCGGCAAGCCCAACGAGUCGGUGAAAGUUUUCGGGUUGCUUGAGGACGGAUUCGCCAUAGACACCCAUGCUCUAGAAACCCAGCCUGGACAUGACCCAUUUGCAUUCACUUGUUCUGAGAAACCGAAAAAUCCAUUUUAGGGGACCGUAAUCAUUUCCUAGAGAAUUAACAGAAAAAACCACCUCACAUCCCUUCGAAUCAAGACCAACCCCAUAAAAUGCAAAAGUUGCUCAUGUCUCCAAGGGAGAAAGAGAGAAAGAAAAAGUACCAGAAUGUCCUACCGCUACUUCCAUAAGGGCAAUUUCUCCAACUGCAGCAAGUGAAGUAGCACUCUCACGUUCUCAACAGCGCAUCUCUCCCGUGGCUUCACCGCUAUCCUCUAGACCAGAAAACGCAUAACUCGAAACGUCAGUAGAAAUAAAUGGUUGUACUUCCCACCACAAUUGAUGGAGAAGCAAGAGAAGUCAUCCACCGCCGUCAAUAUCCCAAGCAUCCUUCUCUCAUCUAAUCUUGCUAAAGCCACGCAAGUAUCCCUAAUCUUUUUUAACGUCUUCGGACUCCACAAGUGCAAAGGAAGCCUUACCACGCUAACCCACACUUCCUUGGCAUGCGCACCUUUUCGACAACAGUCUACCUCGAGGGACGACCUAUCCAAGCGCAAAACCAUUUCCUUAAACCUUUUUACACCACUUGGCAAAACAAUCUCUUUAUCACAGCCAUGAUCAUACUCGAACUAUAGAACAACACCCCUUAGCAAGAUAAUCCUUAUCACCCCUUAGAGACCAAUCAUGACCUACACAACUCCUGAACCCAAGAAAAUCUGGGGUUAGGUAUAGAAAAUCUACCCAUCUCCCUACUAGACAACUACUCAAUUUCUCUAUCCGGGUUGAACCUCCUCAUCAAACUGAAUCCAAAUUGUUUCAUUCACCAAAUCGUGCUCUUUAUAACCAAGUCUACAAUAAACCCCUUCAAUGGAUACACUGAACUAUCCAUGUUCAAAGACCUUGAGGUAGUUGGGUAUGGAAGCCUCAUUUCCUUUGACGAAACUACUCAGAGAAAGUGAAGUUUGUCGGCCGGGAUAGACCCUAUCCCCUAGGAUACUUGUCACGACCCAAAUUCCGGGCGACCCAAAAUUUGACCCAUGACCCCAGGUCAAAGGUUUGACCCUAAGAGUUCCUCCUAUUCCACGUUGGCAGUCAACCAAAACACUCUGGAUUUUUUUUUUAUAUACAUCUCACUAGAAUUCUCAUAAACCACAAUAUCCCAAAACUACUCAAAACAACAAGAUUAAAUAAAUAUUCAUUAGAGUCCAAAAUAAAAUUUCACAAUUAACACUUAAUCAAAAUAAAGCUUCAUAACAAAUCCAUGAGUCAUAAUUACUAAAACAAAUCCAUGAGUCAUAAUUACUAAAACACAAUAACAGAAAAUGUCACGUUCCACUAGGCCGCUCCAGGAGCAUCCUGAAGUCCUCCCUGCCCCACCUGUGGAUCCUCAAGAGAGAUAUCUGCAUCUAAAAAUGUGUAACAAGGAAGGGGUGAGCAUUUCCACAUUGCUCAGUAGGGUGCCUAACACCCAAGGGGUUAAGGGGAUUACUAAGUUUCAAAGAAUACGAAAAGAACACUUCAACACCAUAGGAACAAUUCAACAAUAUCAAUCAAACCACAUAGUUUAAUAUAUAAUUCUAUACACAAUUUCACAAUAUUCAACAAUUACAGGAAUGCACAUGAACGUGUGACACACAGUCAUACAAUGCACUAUUGUUCUCAGGCUUUCACCGAAUGAUACGCGUCCGCACCCAAAUACACUCCCCAUUCGGAGUUGAUUCGUCCCUAGCAGCGGCAGUGGCAAUGGCACCAUCUGAUUCGGGGUUCGAUCCCCGGCAACGGCGCCAUUUGAUUCGUGCCCAAUUGAUGUCUCAGCUGAUUCGUGUCUAGCUGGUGCUCCUUGAUUGAGGGAUUAAUCAACAAAAUUUAUAACCUAUUACACCAUAUACUAGGGUAGCAAAGACAAAGCUACUAUAGCAUAGUGGCUCUAGGAUCGUUCACUGGGAUGGGUUUUCACUUCACAAAUGAUAUUAAUUCAAAGUUGAAUUGGUGCCUUUUCAUUUCAAGGUUAGCUUUAAAAGAAAACAUAAAAAUGUUUGAAUGAAAAAGGUUUGGUUUUACACUAACCAAAAAUAGUAACUGAUUUUACUUACAAAGAAAAGUGUUUCUUGGAGUUCAGAUCACUAGGCUCAGGUUCCUCAUACAAAAAAGAGAGUUCCGGUCACUUGUUUCUUUUCCUCGCAUUAGAGAAUUAACAUAUAGUUCCUUCUCCAACCGGUGUUGUACAGAUGCUUCCCAUUAAUGGGUUCAAACACUAAAUCCCUCUCACUGAUGCACCUUGCAAUGACUCAUACCUCUCACCUAGCACUUGCCAUUCAAGGUGAUCUUUAACCUUGGAUUACCCGUCAAAAGCUCGCAAGAGAUAACUAAUGGAUGUCUCCUUGGAGUCCAAAAGCUUACCAAGUGUUGGCUAUUCUAGAAAAUCCUACCUUCAAGUCACCUCCCAAAGGCUCGCAAUGGGUAAACUAGUGCAUCUCCAUGGACGGAGAUCACUUGCCUUACCAAGUGUUGGCCCAGGUGAUUUAAAGGCGUUUUAAGUUAACUAAAAAGAUAAAAACCAUUAACGGGUUACACUUUCUCUUCAUUAAAAACUAAAACAACAAAACUUCCAAAUUAUGCAUGUGGAAACUUACCCGGCUUUCCUUACUCCAAGAGACAAAAAGCUUAGCCUCUCAUCCUCUUAGGAAAAAUCCUCAGAGUUUGGUUAGCUAGAAAUAAAAAGAAAUGAAAAAUCAAAGAGAAGGAAAAACAGAGCAAGGCUCUGUAUAUUCUAUAUAUUUAUCGAUAUGGAUUACAUGAUACUCUUACAGUGGAUGCAAGGGAAUAUAUAUAGAGACAUUUUUCCAACCUUCCCAACUAAGAAAUCUUAUGGUUGGUGGAUUACAAGGAGAAGAAUGGAAAUUCAUACAAAAAUAUCUGAAGAAAAAUAUCCCAAAGUGUCGGUCACAAAUAUCGGGGUGCUUCAGGAACCAUUUCGCAAGAGAAAAUGGUGUCUGCGAGAUUUCGCAGGCACUCAAGAAGGGUUGCGAAAUUACUUCGCAUCAACAAGCUGAACUCGCACCGCUGCGAAGUUGGAUUUCAUCUUGUGGUGUUUGGCUUCCAUCGCGACGUGAAACUUCAAGAGGAAUUUCAAAACACUGUACAAAAAGGCUGCGAAAUCAUCUCGCAACAAAAGGGUGAUUUCGCAACACUUUGCAAAUUUCUUCCUUCAGCUUGGAGUGAUUGACUUGCAGUGGCUGUAACUUCUUCGUUUCAACUCCAAAUUGCACACCGUUUGAAGCAUUGGAUUCUUGACUUCCUGAGCUUUGAAAUGGUAUAUAGAAUGUACAAAAUUGACUUCGGGAAGUGCUCCAAAAGUGCACAAGAAAACUGCAGCUGUUGUCCUAUGUUUUCUUCACUCUGUUUUUCCUCUCUCCUUGCUUCUCUCCUUGCAUACUUUGAACGACUUUGGCAAAGGGCUAUGGAGCUCCAAAGCUUGGUUCUUCAUUAAUUUGAGCUCUUCAUUGCUUUGCCAUGGAUUCCAAAUAACUCUCCUCAAUCCUGGAUUGUUUUGGUGAUCAAAUUACUAACAAAAACACCAAAACUUACACAAUUUGAUUAGAAAUGAUUGCAAGGGUCCUUAACAUGUUAAUUGGGUUAAAAGGCAAUAACUACUACUCAAAAGUGUUUAAAAGAGUUAAUUACAAGCUAUCAAAUAGCACUUUUUGAGUAGUAAUCAGUCUUCCUGGGGUAACUUUUGGGUCUUUCACCCUAGGGAUCUCUCUCCCUUCUUAAUUCGUCCCACACGACUUUCACUUCUCAUCACUAUUUCUUUUUUUUUUUUUUUUCCAUUUCAUACACUUUUCACAAUCUUCAUAAUUUUAUUUAUUUUCCACAUAACCAUGAUGCAAAUGAAUGCCACAAUUCCAAGGUUCCUCAAUAAUUCAACAAUUUCAACAUUCCCCAAUAAUCCAAUAAAAUAAUUUCACACAUUAAAAUUUCUGAUAAUAUCCCAAAUAAAUAUUCAAAAAUUUGCAUAUCAAAAAUCUUGAAAUUUUACCAUACUUACGGAAUUUUUCAACCAUUAUAAUAAUUUCUAAUAUUCGAAAUUAACUAACUUUCUAUCAUAAAAAUUCCAAAAAUUUUCUAACUAAUGCCUAAAAAUUCACCAAUUACUAUUUUUGAAAUUUAGCCCUAAUUUUGGAAUUUUUCAACCCUUCAAAUAAUUUUUUUACAAUUCAAAACAAUUAAUUAUCAAUCAAAAUCAAUUUCCCGCAAUUACAAAAAUUCCAAACAAAUUCCAAAUAUUCUAGAAAAAUUCAUACAAUCCCCAUAAUUCCUAAUUAACUCAUAAUGACAAUAUUUACAAUUUUUUUCAAGGGAAAAACAUAAAAAUUUAAGUUUUAAGGUUAGGGUCCCCUACCAAAGAUCUAAGAAUUCAGCUGCUAAAAAUACAAUUGGCCACUGUAUGAUUGUUCCCCUCGUCGAGUAGAACACACCCUCCAAAUCUGAGUUGAAACGGAGGUCGUUUGACCACCCAAACGACCGGUCAAAGCUCCGGCGAGGUGAGAUUUUCUAUAGUGCCGCUGCCCCUUUUCUCCCAGAUCUGCUACUGUUCCCUUCUUUUCCACUUAAGCCCAUUUCUUUUCAUUUUAAUCCACUUACCAAACAGCCCACUCAAGCCCAACCCAAGUUCAAAAUAAACCCAAUAACUAACUCCCAUUUUUCUUUUAAAACCCUAUUUCAUCCAAGCCCAAAUUACUCCAUUUUCAUUUUUUUUUUUCUUUUCUCUUUAUUUUUAUAAAACACACAAUUUAAUAUUUUUCUCAAUUUUUUAUUAAUAAGGAAUUUAAUUUAAUUAACUAUUAUUUUUUUUCUAAUUAAUUUUAAUUAAUUAACUUUUCAUUUUUGUUUUCGUUUUUUUUUCUUUUCCGGAAAUUCCCAAUUACUAAAAUCCUAAGAAAUUUCCACCCUAAGGCUGACAUGGCAUAAAAUUUUCAACUCACCUAAUUGACCAACACAAUAAACUGAAUUUCACCAAUCCAAAACUAACACCUGUUCUUCAGGCACUUUUCUUUUUGACUUUUCAACCAUCAUUUAAAAUAAGACUUUUCAAACUAAAAAUGCUAACGUGACAUAAAAUACCCGGUCAUUACAUCCUACCCCCCUAAAAGAAAUUUCGUCCCGAAAUUUAAACUAGCUUACCUUAAAAUUCAUAGAAGAGUUGCGAAUAGUGUCGUCUCAUUUCUUCCUCAGGUUCCCAAGUGGCUUCUUCUAUCCCAUGGUGUUGCCACCACACUUUGACUGCAGGAAUCACCUUGUUCCUAAACCUAUGCUCUCCAACUUCCAGAAUUCGUAAAGGUUCCUCCACAUAAGAAGUAUUUUCACUAAUCUGAACAUCUUGCAAAUCCACUACCCAAGUUGGAUCUGGAGUACACUUCCUUAGCAUUGACACAUGGAAAACAUCAUGCACAAGGGACAACUGUUGAGGCAAAAUUAACUUGUAUGCCACUGUGCCAACUCUCUUAUCAAUCUGAAAUGGUCCCACAAACCUAGGGGCUAACUUCCCCUUCUUCCCAAAUCGAAAUAUGCCUCUUCGAGGGGACACUUUUACAAACACCCAAUCCCCUUCCUCAAACUCCAAGGGUCUUCUCCUUUUGUCUGCAUAACUUUUCUGUCUAUCUUGGGCAGUCUUAAGUUUUUCCUUGAUGAGUUGUAUCUUCUCUGUAGUCUCUUAGACAAUCUCAGGUCCCAACAAACGACUUUCACCCAUCUCUAUCCAACACAAGGGCGACCUACAAGGUCUCCCAUAAAGUGCUUCAUAAGGUGCCAUGCCAAUACUAGAUUGGUAACUGUUGUUAUAAGCAAACUCUACUAAAGGUAAGUAAUCUGCCUAAUUUCCUCCAAAAUCCAAAACACAAGCCCUUAACAUGUUUUCUAAGAUCUGGAUCACUAUUUCUGAUUGACCAUCUGUCUGAGGGUGAAAAGCGGUGCUAAAAUUCAGUUGAGUGCCCAAAGCCCUUUGUAAACUCUGCCAAAAUUGAGAAGUAAACUUAGGGUCCCUGUCAGACACUAUAGAUACAGGUAUCCCAUGCAAUCUCACAAUCUCCUGUAUAUACAACUUAGCCAAAGAGUUCAUGGAAUCAGUAGUUUUCAUGGCUAGAAAAUGAGCUGACUUAGUAAGACGGUCCACAAUCACCCAAACUCCAUUUUUCUUGCUUUUAGUUCUUGGCAACCCUAUCACAAAGUCCAUAGUGAUAUUAUCCCACUUCCACUCAGGUAUAGGUAAAGGUUGCAACAAUCCUGCAGGCCUCUGGUGUUCAGCCUUCACUUGCUGACAAAUCUGACAAUUAGCUACAACCUGAGCAAUAUCUCUCUUCAUCCCACUCCACCAAAACUGUCUCUUUAAGUCUUGAUACAUCUUGGUAUUCCCAGGAUGGAUGGUAUACUUCGCCCUAUGAGCAUUUGCUAGAAGUUCAUUUCUCAACUCCACAUCUUUUGGCACACACAAUCUCCCUUUGAACCUCACACUCCCAUCUUCAUACAUAGACCAAUUUUCAUCUAUUUCACCUGCUACCAACUGGGCUUUAACCUUUUCUAAAAACUCAUCAUGAACUUGGGCCUCCACUAUUCUCUGGAUAACCAUUGGUCUAGCUGAUAUACUGUACAAGCAUGGACCAUGCCCUUCCAAACCAAGACAUAAUUCAAAAUCCUCAAUAACUGCAUGCAUCUCAAACUCUCUCAACUCCAAGCUAGACAACUGGCCAACACUCUUCCUACUCAAGGCAUCUGCUACAACAUUCACCUUUCUUGGAUGAUAAUGAAGAGCAAAAUCAUAAUCUUCCAAUGUCUCCAUCCAUCUCCUUUGCCUAGAGUUCAGAUCCUUUUGAGUGAAAAUAUAUUUCAAACUCUUGUGAUCAGAGUACACCUCAAACUUCUCUCCAUACAAAUAGUGUCUCCAAGUCUUAAGGGCAAACACCACUACUGCAAGCUCCAAAUCAUGUGUUGGAUAAUUCCGCUCAUGCUGCUUUAACUGUCUUGAGGCAUAAGCUACCACCUUGCCUUGCUGCAUUAGCACACACCCUAGCCCCACUGUGGAAGCAUCACAAUAAAUUGUAAACAACUCUCCACUAAUAGGAGCAGUUAACACUAGAGCAGUGGUCAAUUUCCGCUUCAACUCCUGGAAAGCAUUCUCAUACUCCUCAUUCCAAUCAAACUUCACCCCAUUUCUAGUCAACCGAGUCAUUGGUACUGCAAUUCUAGAGAAGUCUUCCACAAACCUCCUAUAAUAUCCAGCCAACCCCAAGAAACUUCUAACCUCAAAUACAUUGGUAGGCCUUUGCCACUCCUAAACAGCUUCCACCUUGGAAUGGUCUACUGCUAUUCCUGCCUCAGAAACCACAUGGCCUAAGAAAUUCACUUCAGUAAGCCAAAACUCACUUUUUUCCAACUUCCCAUACAACUGAUGUCUUCUUAAAGUUUUAAGAGUGGUCACCAAAUGCUGUUUAUGCUCCUCCAAACUCCUAGAGUAAAUCAAAAUGUCAUCCACAAACACAAUCACAAACUGAUCUAAGUAAGCAUGAAAUACUCUGUUCAUUAAAUCCAUGAAAGCAGCGGGGGCAUUAGUUNNNNNNNNNNNNNNNNNNNNNNNNNNNNNNNNNNNNNNNNNNNNNNNNNNNNNNNNNNNNNNNNNNNNNNNNNNNNNNNNNNNNNNNNNNNNNNNNNNNNUUAGUGUGCCAUCCUUCUUCUUCACAAACAACACUGGGGCUCCCCAUGGCGACGUACUCGGACGAAUAAAACCUUUACCCAACAAUUCAUCCAACUGAGUUUUCAAUUCCUUCAACUCAAGAGGGGCCAUCCUAUAAGGGGAUACUGAAAUAGGAUCAGUUCCUGGGAAUACUUCAAUAAAGAAAUCAAAUUCUCUAUGAGGUGGUAAACCUGGAAACUCAUCUGGGAAUACAUCUUGAAACUUUCUCACCACUGGAAUUUCUGCAAUGUCCUUCUAGGCUUUCUCCUUACCACGAAGGUAAGCUAGGAAAUUUAUUGAUCCCUUCCUCAACACAUACUGAUAGCACGGAUUGGAUUGCGAAAAAAGCAAACUAACACACUUUCCUCCAACAAAGCAAACCUCAAAUCCCUCUGGCAGACAAAAUAUUAUCCUGCGGCGAUGACAAUCAAUAAUUGCUCUAUACACUGCCAACCAAUCCAUUCCCAAGAUAACAUCAUACCCAGUCAUAUCUAAAAUCCUCAAAUCCACAUUAAGUGCUAUAUCCACCAAGGUAAUAACGCACCCCUUGCAUAUUCUAUCAACUUUAGAGUUCGUACCCAUAGGGGAUUCAAUAAGUAACAAAUUCUCUACCCUUUCUGAUUUCAACCCUGAUGCAUUAGCACAAGAUAUAGAAAUGAAAGAAUGAGUUGCACCAGUAUCAAACAAAACAUGCACCCAAGUACUAUAUACCAAAAUCAUACCUUCCACCAAGAGAGCGUCCUCCUCUGACUCUGUUGGGGUCAAGGCAAAAACUCUCCCAGCUGUCUGCCUUCCCCUACCUCUAGCAUUCGACCCCUGAGAAGAGCGGGUCUGACUCGUGGUAGCUGUCCUAGUUCCCUGUGCUGCUGGGGGUAAUUGUGGCAUCUGAUAGUAAGGCAACUGAAACUGAGGGGGCUGGAAAGGCACUACUGACUGUUAUUGAGAACUUCCCUGAGACUGAGGUCGAGCCUGCUGUGCACCUUGCACUGGGCAAGCCCUCCAUAAAUGGUCUCCUGCUCCACAACCAUAACAUACUCUAUUAGCAGCUGCCCUCUGAGCAAUCUGCCCCCCUCCUGCAUAGAACGAGGGACGCCUCUCAAACUGCUAAGUCCUCUGCCUCUGCUGUGGCCCUUGGGAACUUUCCCUCAUUCUUUGUUUCCCUUUUCUGUCCCCCUUUUGCUCUCGAAUUUGGUUAGUUUCGUCAAUGUCCUGCUCCACCAACAAAGCCCUCUUAACCAACUCAGAAUAGUCCCUUAUUGCCAAUGGGACUAAUCUAUUCCUAAUAGCAGGCCUCAACCCCUGCUGGAACCUUCUAGCCUUUUCUCCUUCCUCCCCGAUCAUCCCCAAAGCAAAUCUAGACAACUCCGAAAAGCGUGACUCGUACUCCAGCACCGACAUGGUUCCCUGGAUGAGGUGCUCAAACUCCAUCCUCUUGGCAUGCUUAGCCACCUCCCCAAAAUACUUGCCUAGGAAGAUUCUCUCAAAUUCCUCCCAGGUCAUAACCUCAGUGUCAUACACCCUUUUCAUUGAUUCCCACCAGAAAUCAGCUUUAUCAACAAGCAUAUAUGUUGCUAGACCUACCCUUCUUUCCUCAGGUAUGUCCAGUCCCACCAGAAUUCUUCUCAUCCUCCUCAACCAAUGCUCAGUUGCUUCAGCAUUGGGCUCUCCAUUAAAAGAUGGAGGUUGCAUCACCAUGAACCUCUUUAUUGCUUCCAUUUGGCUCAUUACUGGCCUCUCAGUGCGGUUCCUCCUAUGUGAGUGGCCUGAAUCCUCAUGGCCCUGGGUACCUCCUGAUCUCCUGGAACCCUGGCCUCUCAUCAAUUCAACAGUUUCUCUCAACUCUCUUCUUACUUCUCGGAGUUCUUCUCUUACCGUCUCCAACUCCUCAUUCCUCUCUGAUCUUCCUCCUCUGGUCCUUCCCGCCAUUUCAAGUUUAACAAACCCUAAUUCAAUCACAUUACUAAGGUGAGCAAAAAUAAAUUUCACAUAUACACACUUAGCAACUUCAACAAUUAUCAAAACUUUCACUUUCAUACACUCAUAAUACAUAAUUCAAUUAAUCAUCAACUAGUUAAUUAACACAUACAAAAAUCAUAACAUUACAACACACAUAAACACCCAAGGUAUUAUUGCAACCUUGGCUCUGAUACCACGCUGUCACGACCCUAAUUCCGGGCUACCCAAAAUUUGACCCGUGACCCCAGGUCAAAGGUUUGACACUAAGGGUUCCUCCUAUUCCAUGUUGGCAGUCAACCAAAACACUUUGGAUUUUUUUUUUUUUUAUAUAUACAUCCCACUAGAAUUCUCAUAAACCACAAUAUCCCAAAACUACUCAAAACAACAAAAUUAAAUAAAUAUUCAUUAUAGUCCAAAAUAAAAUUUCACAAUUAACACUUAAUCAAAAUAAAGCUUCAUAACAAAUCCAUGAGUCAUAAUUACUAAAACAAAUCCCAAAAUCCAAACAAAAAACACAAUAACAGAAAAUGUCACGCUCCACUAGGCCGCUCUAGGAGCAUCCUGAAGUCCUCCCUGCCCCACCUGUGGAUCCUCAAGAGAGAUAUCUGCAUCUAAAAAUGUGUAACAAGGAAGGGGUGAGCAUUUUCACAUUGCUCAAUAGGGUGCCUAACACCCAAGGGGUUAAGGGGAUUACUAAGUUUCAAAGAAUACGAAAAGAACACUUCAACACCACAGGAACAAUUCAAAAAUAUCAAUCAAACCACAUAGUUUAAUAUAUAAUUUUAUAUACAAUUUCACAAUAUUCAACAAUUACAGGAAUGCACAUGAACGUGUGACACACAGUCAUACAAUGCACUAUUGUUCUCAGGCUUUCACCGAAGGAUACGCGUCCGCACCCAAAUACACUCCCCAUUCGGAGUCUUCCCGGGGUAACUUUUGGGUCUUUCACCCUAGGGAUCUCUCUCCCUUCUUAAUUCGCCCCACACGACUUUCACUUCUCAUCACUAUUUUUUUUUUUUCCAUUUCAUACACUUUUCACAAUCUUCAUAAUUUUAUUUAUUUUCCACAUAACCAUGAUGCAAAUGAAUGCCACAAUUCCAAGGUUCCUCAAUAAUUCAACAAUUUCAACAUUCCCCAAUAAUCCAAUAAAAUAAUUUCACACAUUAAAAUUUCUGAUAAUAUCCCAAAUAAAUAUUCAAAAAUUUGCAUAUCAAAAAUCUUGAAAUUUUACCAUACUUAC